rnacentral:rRNA from 1 species
AUUGAACGCUGGCGGCAGGCCUAACACAUGCAAGUCGAACGAGUGGCGGACGGGUGAGUAAUGUCUGGGAAUCUGCCUGAUGGCGGGGGAUAACUACUGGAAACGGUAGCUAAUACCGCAUACCAUCAGAUGUGCCCAUAUGGGAUUAGCUUGUAGGUGGGGUAACGGCUCACCUAGGCGACGAUCCCUAGCUGGUCUGAGAGGAUGACCAGCCACACUGGAACUGAGACACGGCCCAGACUCCUACGGGAGGCAGCAGUGGGGAAUAUUGCACAAUGGGGGCAAGCCUGACGCAGCCAUGCCGCGUGUAUGAAGAAGGCCUUCGGGUUGUAAAGUACUUUCGGUGGCGAGGCGUUACCUGCAGAAGAAGCACCGGCUAACUCCGUGCCAGCAGCCGCGGUAAUAC